UUUAGUUCGAGAAAGAUUAGGAACUGUCACGAGAAUCAUCAUCAGCACUUCCGUGUUCACAGACGCUUCUGAAGUCUGAAGACUGCGGACGUCUCAUCAUGAUCGUCAAAUUAAACGUCUGCUGUUUUAGUCUCUCUUUUAUGUUUAUGUGCUUGUAUGCGCAAUAUGUACCACCGUACACAGAAGAGUGCAGAAGUGGCAUGUAUCCUCCAAACGGACCAACGUGAGUAGGCUAUGACAACUGAAAUGAUGGAUUAUUCAUUCUGCAAAU